rnacentral:lncRNA from 1 species
AUGGUGUGCAUGCUACAGUCCCAGGGUGGUACAUACCAAAUAGUUACUACAUUUAGACAACCAGCCUUUGUCGAGUACUUGCUCUAUGACUGUGUCUGGAUUUGGUUUAUUUUGUGUUUCUCAAAGAGAGAAUGUGUUUCUCACAAUGGAUUUUCCAGAAUGUACCAUGUCAACCUGGCCUUAAAGGAUGACUUUAUUGCUAAGUCUGUUUGACAGAAUCAUGUCUGGAACUUGUUUUUGUUUUGUUUUGUUUUGUUUUCUCUUGAGUAAAAACUUGACUUUGAUGUUGCACUUGCAAAAUGUGUUCUUUUUGAAAUUCCAGUCAAGAACCCUGACCCUAGAUCCUCAUUUGUGCCAGAAAAGGCUUAUGAGGCCUGUGAGCUGUCUGAACCCUUGAGUCCAACCAGUUCUUACCACUACACAGGUCUCCUAAGAUACUGCUUUCCAAAGGUUCAGAUGCCCUCUAAGGAGAUCCCAGAAUAUUUCUUCCCUCCUCACUUACCUGGAUCAGUGACAAGGAAAAUAUUCUUUGCUUUGCCAUAUAUCAAGGCUGAAGAAACAGAAUCUCCGACAGAAAUUUUCCUGUUUUCUUUUUAUACAUGUUCAUUUGCACAAUAUCCCUUGUUUGGGUGACAGUAUCCUUUGUUUUGUGUGAAGUACAAGCAAGAAUUUUGGUUCAGCAAGUUGUGAAGUCUGUUUACUCCAUUCCUAAAUCUUAAUGCCUUUUUGUGGUGUUGGAUUUGUAAGGCACUUUAUUCCUUUGUCUUGUGUUUCAUUGUAAAUGAUAUAGGCAGAGACGAUAUCUAAUUCUGAAUUUGUCAUUGUUUACACAUGCAUUAAUUUAAUAAAAUGUUCUUAUUUAUUUUGUUCCUCAGUUCAUCUGCAUAUCGAUUUUCUUAUUUCCUACAUGUUUUAUAAAAACAUUCUGAGUUUAACAUCGCAAUGGAGACAAUUACCUGGAAUAUCUUCAGCUACGUUCUUAGUUCUGUUUUUCAUAGCUAUGUAAACAUAGCUUCUAUGUUUAUACAGUAUACUCUUGCAAACCUUAUGAUGAAAAAUAUCAAAAGCAUGUUUUAAAGAAUGUAUUGAAAAUUUUCAUCCUCUCUCACUCGAUAGCUUCCUUUAGGAUAAUACCAAGAAGAGAGUCAAAAUUGUGAUGUUCAGAUCACUAUUGUGAAGAUCUGAGGGAAGGGAGAUGACAGAAAAGUGAUCUUCGAGAGAACUAUAAGGAAAUGAAGGGACUUUCCUUUACAAGAGUACUCUUCUCAGAUCAGUAGACAUGGCCAUGCAAGCCCAUGCGUGUGAAGCUGGAUUUAUUCAGUCAUCAGGUUCUGAAAAGGAAGUGAGAAACCUAGAACAAAGUUGAGGAUUAAGGCCUGGCACAAGGUGGGACAGUAAGAUUUAAUGUGUCAACUAACUUAUGUAGUCAUUAAUCUUACUUUAAAGAGACUUUUAAUCGUUUCUCUAAAUCAGACACUCUUAAAAGAUAAUGAUGACUAUUUCUAAAAAUAUAUGACAGAUUAUAGAUGAUUCUAAAGAAAAAGCAUCAGUAUCUUUGUAGAAUGAUGNNNNNNNNNNNNNNNNNNNNNNNNNNNNNNNNNNNNNNNNNNNNNNUUAGCUAACAUCAGAAUAUUUCACCUUUCUGACCAGACUUCCUGGCUGGCUUUGAUGGUCAUGGUUCUGGAUGAAAUUUUGUGACAUUGGAAGGGUCUAUACUGUAGGAAAGUUAGCCUGAAAAUGGACCAUGAGCUUUCAUUACGGUUUUACUCCAAUCCCAUUUAUAAGCAUGUGACUGUUUGCCACAAGUGGACCAAAUAUGUUUUUAUCUAAAUAUUUUAGUAACAUAUCAGUUCAGUUCAGUCACUCAGUCGUGUCCGCCUCUUUGUGACCCCAUG